GAGAGAGAGAGAGAGAGAGAGAGAGAGGGGGGAGGGGACCCACGACACAGCAGCUUCCUCUAUACUGUCAUUCAAGUGGGAAGAUGCUGAAUGAGAUGCCUGCUCGCUGCAGGCUUUUUUCCUUUCCUUUUUAUUUUUGAAUUGGAUCAACUUGUGCAGCUUUGAAGACGCGUUUCGCAGGGUGAGAUUCCUGGACUCUAGGUUUUGGUCAUACAUGAGAGAUCCUGAUACGUGGGAUUUAUUCACUUUUGAUUCCUUGGAUACUUAAGGGAAGUCCUUCAGAAAAAAACUCUCAUCUCAAGUGACCUGAGGAGCAGAGGUCAGCAGAGGGGUCACAUCAUCACUCCCAUGUUCGAGCUUGAGUAGAGGAAGAGGAGGAGGAGGCAGUGGAGGAGGAAAAGAGACACAGAGUGGGUGGAAGAAUGGAAGGACAGAGGGAUGGAAGCAGUUUGAGGAGGUGGUUGGAAGCGGCUGAACCCAGAGCAGGUGAACGUAGCUGUGGAUUGCCAUGGGCUUUCUGUCGACAUCCUCUUGUGGGCCUAGUUGCUCUGCACCGGGAUCCCGAAGAAACCAGCAGGAGCCAGCCAAAAGCUGCAGCGAAGUGGGCAGGCUAGGCCAGGCAAGCCAGAGAGGGGCAGGUGAACCGGGUGAGCCAAGCGCUUGUUCCCGUCGGCUAGGAGCUUGCUCUGUAGAGUGGAGCAGCGUGGAGCAGCAAAAAUCAAUACAGAGGAGAGAGGCAAGCAGAGGUUGCCCAACACUGCCUGCAGGCCUCAGAGCCAAGAGACCAACCACCACCUCUACUCCAAGCUCCUUUCUCCAGCUCUCCUUCUAUCUCUCUGCUGGAGACCCAGCACCCGCAAGGGCCAGGGCCCUCACCCCGCAGCUGCCCUAAUCUCAGUCUGUUUGGCAGAAUAUGCACAUGUGUAUGAAGAAAACAGAAAGAGGCAGAAAUCUAUUCUUGUCUUUGGUUUAAAUGGACAUUUUCCAGCUCAUCUUUGUUAAACUUUACGAAAGACACAGGGAAAUGGUUGAAGGAUGGGUUUUUACGUCCUGAUGCUUUACCUUCCUGCUCCCAUGCUGCUCUUAGUCAUUCCACAUUCACCUUUUCUUAAUGAGAACGCUACAUGGGAAGUUACGGCUCAGUGCUGUUUCCAAGCACGUAUAGCGCACAGUAUUCCUAAGAUCUCCUGAGCCCGGAUGAAAGGACAAUUUGAAGUUUUUUCCUCUCAUCUACUGUAUCAGGCAGAAGCUGUCUUUUCACCUUAGAUUUUCUUACCUGCACAACUGCAGCUCCCAUCAGAGGAUAUGGCAGUGCAGUAUUGAUCGGAGAGGUGGAAGAGAGAAAGGCGGAUCUUUUCCUCACUGUUUGUGUGGCUGAAAGGGGGGAUACCUGAAGUACACUUUCAUGCUGUGCUGCUAGGAUUCAGUGUCAGCACAGGUGAAUGACUGCGAAUUAAACCAAACUUAAAGUAAAAAGGGACCCCUGGUUUGACAGACACCUUCCUCCUGUGCAAAUACAAUCAUUUGAAGCUUGAUUCUUAGUCACCAUAAGAAAAAUGACAGGAGAGAAACAUUCUGCACAUGUUUCCUGGAAGAAGAAGCAUAAGAUUUUAUGUUUUUCAUGAUCUGGAUUGAUGCUCCUGGGCAAAAUGACAGUUUCCCAUAAAUUACAGAAUUAACCUUCAGUUUCACCACUUUUGAUGCCAUCGUGAGAAUUAAUCAGGAGUCACCCCAACAUUGGCUUUAAA